rnacentral:rRNA from 1 species
AUUGAACGCUGGCGGCAGGCCUAACACAUGCAAGUCGAGCGGAUGAAGGGAGCUUGCUCCUGGAUUCAGCGGCGGACGGGUGAGUAAUGCCUAGGAAUCUGCCUGGUAGUGGGGGAUAACGUCCGGAAACGGGCGCUAAUACCGCAUACGUCCUGAGGGAGAAAGUGGGGGAUCUUCGGACCUCACGCUAUCAGAUGAGCCUAGGCCGGAUUAGCUAGUUGGUGGGGUAAAGGCCUACCAAGGCGACGAUCCGUAACUGGUCUGAGAGGAUGAUCAGUCACACUGGAACUGAGACACGGUCCAGACUCCUACGGGAGGCAGCAGUGGGGAAUAUUGGACAAUGGGCGAAAGCCUGAUCCAGCCAUGCCGCGUGUGUGAAGAAGGUCUUCGGAUUGUAAAGCACUUUAAGUUGGGAGGAAGGGCAGUAAGUUAAUACCUUGCUGUUUUGACGUUACCGACAGAAUAAGCACCGGCUAACUUCGUG